rnacentral:rRNA from 1 species
AUUGAACGCUGGCGGCAGGCCUAACACAUGCAAGUCGAGCGAGCGGCGGACGGGUGCGUAAUGUCUGGGAAACGGUCUGAGGGAGGGGGAUAACCACUGGAAACGGCAGCUAAUACCGCAUACCAUCAGAUGUGCCCAGAGGGGAUUAGCUAGUAGGUGGGGUAACGGCACACCUAGGCGACGAUCCCUAGCUGGUGUGAGCGGAUGACCAGCCACACUGGAACUGAGACACGGUCCAGACUCCUACGGGAGGCAGAAGGGGGGAAUAUUGCACAAUGGGCGCAAGCCUGAUGCAGCCAUGCCGCGUGUGUGAAGAAGGCCUUCGGGUUGUAAAGCACUUUCAGCGGGGAGGCGUUACCCGCAGAGGAAGCACCGGCUAACUCCGUGCCAGCAGCCGCGGUAAUAC